rnacentral:rRNA from 1 species
AUUGAACGCUGGCGGCAGGCCUAACACAUGCAAGUCGAGCGAGAGGCGGACGGGCGAGUAAUGUAUGAGGAUCUGCGCGAUAGAGGGUGAUAACUACUGGAAAUGGUGGCUAAUACCGCAUACUAUCGGAUGAACCCUUACGGGAUUAGCGAGUAGGUGGGUUAAAGGCUCACCUAGGCGACGAUCCCUAGCUGGGCUGCGAGGCGGAACAGCCAUACUGGUACUGAGACAAGGCCCGGACUCCUACGGGAGGCAGCAGUGGGGAAUAUUGCACAAUGGGCGAAAGCCGGAUGCAGCCAUGCCGCGUGUAUGAAGAAGGUCUUCGGGUUGUAAAGUACUUUUAGCGGGGAGGCGUUACCCGAAGAAGAAGCCCAGGCUAACUCCGUGCCAGCAGCCGCGGUAAUUC